GCCCUCGUAGUCUAAUGGAUAAAACGCAAGCCUUCGAAGCUUGAUUUAGAGGUUCGAAUCCUCUCGGGGGCACCC
rnacentral:tRNA from 3 species